AUGAGAUGAAACUUGAAGGCAAGGAAGAUUUGAAAUCAAGUGCCUUUGUGAGCUCGCUCCUCUACAUAGAGCUGCAUCUGGAGAGAGAAACAAGCAACAGUCCUGUUGGUAUACAGUUACAGCGUCAAACUGUGAGGUCAACCCACUUCACUUACUGCAGAGGUGACAUCUCACUUCUUUAAAAGAUACACUCUCAGCUGUCCUGAGCUACCAUACCCAGUUCUUAACUGCAACUCCAGCAUGCUUUGAGCACGGGUUUCCACCCUGCCUUGGAAAUCUAAAGGUGGGUCUACUACAACACAAAUUUCCAUUACUAGGCAGUGCAGAACAGACUUUCUUUUGAAACAAGUUUAUACUUUGCUAGUUUUAUUUGUUGUGCCUUUGGACACCUAAAAUAACUUGACUCAGGAAAAAAGUUUCUCUGUAUCUAAGUGAGGAUUCUUUUAAAAUAAUCUUCCUUUAGAAAGUGUUCUGCACAGUUUCCUGUAAGAUACAAUGUAUUUGUGACCCCAAACCUACUCAUUGCUUUAAUCUUAGUCUUUCUUGAUCUUUAUACAAAGUCAGCCACCACACAGUGGAUGGUGGGUGAGGGCUGCUUUUUUCCUUAAUUAAAUUCAAGUACCUAUUCUACACAUCUGAGUAUUUCCAAGUGUCUGAGCAAGCACUGGACAGUGAGUACUGUAAAAAUCUAUUGUGUGUGGCAAAUGUGCUGUCAGCUCACCAGCAUAAACCAUUUCACCACAUUUCAAAUACAGUUACAAUGUGCUUCAUGUGACACCAACCUGCAUGUUCAAGAUAUCUCUCAGCCUUAACCUUAAAGAUGCCAAAACUCUGCACUGCCUAGUCUUUGCUAUGCAGCUUCUCACAUACAAUCAGGUGCCCAAGGAUAUCACUCACCUUUAUCACCUGGAUCUUUUCCAUGUUGCGUGUGGCAGCCUCCCGUGUGUGAACCAGAACUGUGAAGGUGCAACCUAAGAGAAGUGUCAGGUUCCAGCUCAGGGCACAGCUCCCAGAGGAUCAGCCAAGCCAACCAAUGCCAGGCAUUAGGCUGUUUGGAUCCAAGUGACAUUUACCUGGGGGGUUGUUGUCCAGCACAGCAUCACACACACUGAUUUUUAGGAUGAAGGCACGCAGUAGCUGCUCCACGUGGGACAGCAGGGACUCGGAGCUGUGGAGGAGACAGCAGUUGUUACUGUUGUUACUGGCAGUUGCUCCUAGGGCUGGGUGUUGGAUGCCAUGGGCAAACAGGAGUGGAAACCUCACCUAAUGGAAAGAAGAGGUGGCUGGGUGAUCUCAAAGACAAAUCUCUCCACGGGGUGGUGCUCUUUAUCCAGAAUUACAACCACAACUUUCUCCACAUCGUUCUGCAGGAACCAAGACAGAAAAAUCCCUUCCUUAAUAUGAGCUGUCUGCUGCCCACAGUGUACUCCACAUUCUUUGAUGCAGUGGAGUACACUCACUGUUGGGGCUCACAGCACAAGCUGUUACACAAAACCUGACUUCAGAUUAUUCUUAGCAAUCAGAAAAAAAUGCUUUUGCAAAGCCAUUUCUUGUUGGGCAUUAAGCUGUGGCCAAGGCUGAGGGAGAUGAAGUGUGCUAAAUUGUACAUUCCUCUAGAUCCUGUUUUGGAACAAAGGAGGAAGUGCACACCCAUUUCACUGCAUCAUUCUGGGAUGGACACUGAUGAAGUUAAGACACAUUCAGACCAUUGCCCAAACAGAGCAGCUUUGUACAAAUGCAAUUUAAAACAGACCUAAUUGCAUUUUCUACAUGUGCAUUAAAAUUAUCUGUAAAGAGCAAGGCAUACAAAACCUGCCAGCAGCCUCCUGGAAUGUUUCAUUGGUCACACCCUUCUCUUGCAAUACCUAGAGUCCAGGCCUACCUUUGCUUCCAGGUUCACAGCAAAGCAUUCAACCUGUUCUGGCACAGCAGGUGCUUAAACUCAGAUGGAUUGUAAAGCAGAAUGGUAGGAUGAUGUAACUGGAAAUAUACAGACAUGUGUCCUUGUGUGGCAUAUGAGACAAGGAAGGCAGGGUCUUAACUGCCAGGAAAGGUUAUGAUGUUUUUAGUUCUGUCAGGAACUUUUAUCAGCUAGUAUAUUGUGUAUGGUAAAUUUGUAAACAUGUUGAAGUUAAGAUAAUAUUUAUGUUCUCUUACUUUCUGUUAAAUCCAUUUGCAGUACCUUUGCCCAGGUCCCUGGUCUGAGCUCACCUUCUCCAGCAGCGGCUUUACACAGUGCAGCGUGUCCUGGAUGUACUGGUUCAGCUCUGGGUGGCAGGACAUCUGUAGCAAACACAGGGAAGAGUCAGAGCUGUGUCUGACAUGAGCCAGGACAAUGCUAAAAGGGAAGAUUUAAACAGAAGCACCAAGGGCUUCAAGUCAUGCUUCAAAUAGUGCUGAAAAAGGCUGAGUUGCCCAUUCAAAUCAGCAAUUCUUUCAGGGAAGGGUUAAUCAGCUGAGGCAGAUCACUGCACUCAUACAGUUGUUGUAUAUCUGGAAUGUAUGCCAGAACACCAUAUUGGGAAUAGCACAUUCCAACCACCUCUACUUCCACAUGCUUUCCUGUUACCUCACUGCACAGAGCUGGGGCAGCUUUCUACUGCUGUUAUCCACGACCUGCUUGUCCCUUGAGCACUUGCUGUAUCCUCAGCUACGGGGCUGCUCCUCUUAUCACAGGAACUAAGCUCUCCUCAAAAAAGUGUCUACAUUAAACAGUCACUUCCAGAGUGUAA